GGAUUUAAUAUAUUUAUUUUUGGGUAAAAUUUAAAUUUCUAUUAAUUUUUAUUUGAUUCUUUGAAAUAUAUAAUAUAAACUAGGAUUAGAUACCCUAUUAUAAUAUAUUUAAAUUUUAGGCCUGGGUAGUAUUAGUUAUGUUCUUUAAACCUAAAGAAUUUGGCGGUGUUUUAGUCUAUUUAGAGGAAUUUGCUCCUUAAUCGAUAGUCCUCGUUAUAUCUUACUUUAAUUUGUUUAUCAGUAUGUAUACCGCCGUUAUUAGUUUAUUUUAUUAGGAUUAUAAUUUACUUAAUUCUUUAUUUUGAUUUAUUUC
rnacentral:rRNA from 1 species